UUUAUGGAGAGUUUGAUCCUGGCUCAGGAUGAACGCUGGCGGCGUGCCUAAUACAUGCAAGUCGAGCGAACGGACGAGAAGCUUGCUUCUCUGAUGUUAGCGGCGGACGGGUGAGUAACACGUGGAUAACCUACCUAUAAGACUGGGAUAACUUCGGGAAACCGGAGCUAAUACCGGAUAAUAUUUCGAACCGCAUGGUUCAAAAGUGAAAGACGGUCUUGCUGUCACUUAUAGAUGGAUCCGCGCUGCAUUAGCUAGUUGGUAAGGUA
rnacentral:rRNA from 1 species